rnacentral:rRNA from 1 species
GGAUUUUUAAGUGAGGUGUGAAAGCCCUGGGCUUAACCUGGGAAUUGCAUUUCAGACUGGGAAUCUAGAGUACUUUAGGGAGGGGUAGAAUUCCACGUGUAGCGGUGAAAUGCGUAGAGAUGUGGAGGAAUAUCGAAGGCGAAGGCAGCCCCUUGGGAAUGUACUGACGCUCAUGUGCGAAAGCGUGGGGAGCAAACAGGAUUAGAUACCCUGGUAGUCCACGCUGUAAACGCUGUCGAUUUGGGGGUUGGGGUUUAACUNUGACGCCCGUAGCUAACGUGAUAAAUCGACCGCCUGGGGAGUACGGCCGCAAGGUUAAAACUCAAAUGAAUUGACGGGGGCCCGCACAAGCGGUGGAGCAUGUGGUUUAAUUCNAUGCAACGCGAAGAACCUUACCUACUCUUGACAUCCAGAGAAUCCUGUAGAGAUACGGGAGUGCCUUCGGGAGCUUUGAGACAGGUGCUGCAUGGCUGUCGUCAGCUCGUGUUGUGAAAUGUUGGGUUAAGUCCCGCAACGAGCG